AUUGAACGCUGGCGGCAGGCCUAACACAUGCAAGUCGAACGAGUGGCGGACGGGUGAGUAAUGUCUGGGAAACUGCCCGCUGGAGGGGGAUAACUACUGGAAACGGUAGCUAAUACCGCAUACCAUCGGAUGUGCCCAGAUGGGAUUAGCUAGUAGGUGGGUUAACGGCUAACCUAGGCCACGAUCCCUAGCUGGUCUGAGAGGAUGACCAGCCAGCCUGGAACGGAGAGACGGUCCAGAAUCCUACGGGAGGCACCAGUGGGGAAUAUGGCACAAUGGGCGCAAGCCUGAUGCAGCCAUGCCGCGUGUAUGAAGAAGACCUUCGGGUUGUAAAGUACUUUCAGCGAGGAGGCGUUUCUCGCAUAAGAAGCACCGGCUAACUCCGUGCCAGCAGCCGCGGUAAUAC
rnacentral:rRNA from 1 species